GCACUAGCAUUCCGUAUUCUAAGAGAAUUUGGCCUGCCUCUGUGUUACUGCGUUAUCUUCAUAUUCGUGAGGAGAGAAGGCCCAGACACUAGGAGCAGAAUGAUAAUUCAUGAUUAACAGGAACACCACCUGUCUGAAGAUGUCCUUCCUGAGAAAGUUUUACCACACUUGGAAGUAAUCUCUCACCUUCUGAACAACCAUGACAUCCCUCCAAAAUGUCCAUCCCCCACUGGUGGUUACUCUGAAAUAUUACUCAGUCUACUGAGCAGUGAAAGCUGACUCAAGAUUCCUGGAAGGAAGGUGAGUGGCUGACCUCCUGUUCCACUGCCUGGAAUCUCCUUGGACUCUGGAACAGAGAAUUUAAAAUAUUAAUGCUUUGAAUAAUAAAUUAGAGCUUAAAGUAAAUGAGUUCACCCAAAUUACCCCUACCCUCUGGUAUAAUCAUUAAUACUCAUUUAGCUUUGCUCAGUGGUGUAGUGGGGAACAAAACUACGGAAACAGAAAUGGAAGACCUGGACUUUCCUCCAUCAACCUAUAGUCAGGUGCUCAUGAAAGGAGGACAUUCCUGGUGGUAACUGGCAGCAAAUGGAUCACCUGGCCAUGCAGCUGGGGGAAUCAUCCUGGACGGUCCACUAGGGUCAUGGAGAAAGGUUACUCUUGCAGGUGGUUGAGGAGGAGGAGAAUGUUGUUUCUAUCGGAUUCACAAAAUCUUAGGACUUAAAUUAUAAACCGUGUGUGUGUGUGUGCAUGCGCUUAUGCAUGUAUGUGCCUAAUUGCAUUGUGGAAAGGGCAUCUGAUUUGGCACAAUUGCCAUUCAAAGUGUUAUUACCUUUUCUGGCAGGUUCAAAUUUUCACAGAGUUAAUUUUUCACAAAGUUAUUCUGACGUAGCAAAAGUGUGCGGCAAGGAAAACCCUGCAUUUGUAGCUUGGUGGCUCUUCAGGUAAUUCACACUUCACAAUAACUAAGAAAGUAGUCUCUAUGUACCUUAGUAAAAACAAAGUGCAAUAACUGCUUCUCUGACUACUACUACAUGCCAAAAUCAUUGUGAAAUAUGUGUGUAUAUAAGAUAUGUCUAUGUCUUGUCUCUUUUGUCAAAGAUUAAUCAACCAUAGGUGUCUGAGUUUAUUUCUGGGUUCUCUAUUCUGUUCCACUGGUCUCUCUGUCUGUUUUGGUACCAGUACCACAUUGUGUUGAUGACUGUGGCUUUGUAAUAGUGCCUGAAGUCUGGGGGAGUUAUGCUCCCUGCUUGGUUUUUCUUCGUCAGAAUUGUUUUGGCAUGUCUGGGUCUUUUGUGGUUCCAUAUAAAUGUUUGGAUUGUUUCUUCUAGUUCUGUGAAAAAUGUCCUGGGUAAUUUGAUAGGGAUUGCAUUGAAUCUGUAGAUUGCUUUGGGUAGUAUGGCCAUUUUUACAGUAUUAAUUUUCCCAGCCCAGGAGCGUUGAGUAUCUUUCCAUUUCUUUACAACUUCUUUAAUUUCCUUGAUUAAUGUUUUGUAGUUCUCAGCAUAUAAGUCUUUCAUUUCCUUGGUCAGAUGUAUUCCCAGGUAUUUGCUUGUUUGGGGAGCAAUUUUAAAAGGUAUCGUAUUUUUGUAUUCCUUUUCUACUAUUUCAUUAUUAGUAUACAGAAAUGUGACUGAUUUCUGAGUGUCAAUCUUAUAUCCUGCUACUUUGCUGAAUUUGUUGAUCAGUUCAAGUAGUUUUUGGGUCGAGUCUGUAGGGUUUUCUAUAUCUAGUAUCAUGUCAUCUGCAUACAAUGACAGUUUUACCUCUUCUCUUCCUAUUUGGAUGCCUUUAAUUUCUUUUGUUUGUCUGAUUGCUGUGGCUAGGACUUCCAGUAUUAUGUUGAAUAACAGUGGUGAGAGUGGGCAUCCUUGUCUUGUUCCAGAUUUGAGUGGGAAGGCUUUCAGCUUUUCUCCAUUGAGUAUUAAAUUUGCUGUGGGUUUAAGUGGCUUUGAUUAUAUUCAGGAAUGUUCCCUCUAUACCCACUUUGGUAAGAGUUUUGAUCAUGAAUGGAUGUUGGACUUUGUCAAAUGCUUUCUCUGUAUCUAUUGAGAUGAUCAUGUGGUUUUUGACUUUCCUUUUGUUAAGGUGGUGUAUGACAUUGAUUGAUUUGCAUAUGUUGAACCAUCCUUGUAAACCUGGGAUGAAUCCCACCUGGUCAUGGUGUACGAUCUUUUUUAUAUGUUGUUGGAUUCUGAUGGCUAAAAGUUUGUUGAGAAUAUUCGUCAAAGAUAUUGGCCUUUUUGCCAUUUCUUGGGCCGCCCCCACAGCAUAUGGAGGUUCCCAGGGUAGGGGUCCAAUCAGAGCCACAGCUGCUGGCCUACACCAGAGCAACAGCAAUGUGGGACCCGAGCUGCGUCUGCAACCUACACCACAGCUCACGGCAACGCCAGAUCCCUAACCCACUAAGCAAGGCCAGGGAUCGAACCCACAACCCCAUGGUUCCUAGUCAGAUUCAUUAACCACUGCACCAGGACGGGAACUCGUACUAUAGUUUUCUUUUUUCAUGGUAUCUUUGUCUGGUUUUGGAAUUAGGGUGAUGAUGGCUUCAUAGAAUGUCUUUGGGAAUGUUCCUUCUUCAAACUUUUGAAAAAGUUUAAGGAGGGUGGGUAUAAGUUCCUCUUUGUAUGUUUGGUAGAAUUCACCUGUGAAGCUAUCUGGUCCUGGACUUUUAUUUGUAGGGAGUGUUUUUAUGACAUAUUCAAUUUCAUUUCUAGUGAUUGGUUUUUUCAGUUGAUCUAUUUCUUUUUGAUUCAGUUUUGGCAGGCCAUAAAUCUCUAGAAAGUUGUCCAUUUCUUCUAGGUUGUCAAAUUUGUUAGCAUAUAAUUGUUCAUAGUAUUCUCUCAUGGAUUUUUGUAUUUCUAUUAUAUCAGUUCUGACCUCUCCGUUUUCAUUUCUUAUUUUGUUUAUUUGGAUUUUUUCUCUCCUCUUCUUGGUGAGUCUGUCCAGAAGUUUGUCAAUUUUGUUUACCUUUUCAAUGAACCAGCUCUUGGUUUGAUUGAUUUUGUCUAUUGUUUUUUCUAAUCUCUAUUUUAUUGAUUUGUUCUCUGAUCAUUAUUAUUUCCUUCCUUCUGCUGACUUUAGGUUUUGUUUGUUGUUCUUUUUCUAAUUCAUUUAGGUGGUGGGUUAAGUUGCCGAUUUAAAGUAAGUCAGAAAGAGAAAGACAAAUACAAUAUGAUAUCACUUAUAUCUGGAAUCUAAUAUACAGCACAAAUGAACCUUUCUACAGAAAAGAAAAUCAUGGACUUGCAGAAUAGACUUGGGGGCCGAGGGGACUAUUGGGAGCUUGGGGUUAAUAGAUGCAAAUUAUUGCUUUUGGAAUGGAUUGGUAAUAAGAUCCUGCUAUGUAGCACUGAGAACUAUGUCUAGUCACUUAUGAUGGAGCAUGAUAAUGGGAGAAAAAAGAAUGUAUACAUGUAUGUGUAACUUGGUCACCAUGCUGUACAGUAGAAAAAAAAUUGCAUUGGCAAAAUAACAAUAAAAUUUUUUUAAAAAG
rnacentral:lncRNA from 1 species